UGGGAAUCAAUACAAUGAAUAAACGUGCCCUGAGGCAGGAGUGUGUGUUUGUGUGUGGGGCGGAGUUCAACAAAGGCGGUGCUUACUCAGGGCGGCAUGCACACUGGAGCUGCUGCUGGCUGUGAAGAGAACAACAGUCAGACUGAAUGUUGAACAUCAGCUGCUUUCUCCUGCUGGUUUAAACCUUGUUGGACAGAUGGAACAUUGGCUGUGGAUUAUUCUGGCUGCUCUUUUCUCUGAGUGUAAAGGAGACUCAGUGACGCAGACAGAAAGAGAAGUUGUUGCUGCUGCAGGAGAAACUCGGACUCUGGGAUGUACUUAUCAGACUAGUGAUACAACUCCUACGUUACUCUGGUAUAAACAAGAAGAAAACAGUUUCCCAAAGUACAUGCUGAAAGAAUAUGCUAAAAUGAGAGAUGAAGCUCUAGAGUUCAGCAAAGACAGAUUUGAUGCGAAGGUCAACAACUCAGAGUUUAACCUGACGAUCCAGGAUCUCCGUCCGUCAGACUCUGCUGUGUACUACUGCGCUCUGCAGCCCACAGUGACAGGAAACACCAGAACCCUGUGCAAAAACCUGCAGUACUGCACAGCGGCCACUAGAGGGCCUCACUCCCUGUUAAACCACUAAAACCUGCAGUACUCC